UGGGGGAUAUUGCACGAUGGGCGAAAGCCUGAUGCAGCGACGCCGCGUGGGGGAUGAAGGCUUUCGGGUUGUAAACCUCUUUCGCUAUCGAACAAGGCCCGCUUAGGGUGGGUUGAGGGUAGGUGGAGAAGAAGCGCCGGCUAACUACGUGCCAGCAGCCGCGGUAAUACGUAGGGCGCGAGCGUUGUCCGGAAUUAUUGGGCGUAAAGGGCUUGUAGGCGGCUUGUUGCGCCUGCUGUGAAAACGCGGGGCUUAACUUCGCGCGUGCAGUGGGUACGGGCAGGCUUGAGUGUGGUAGGGGUGACUGGAAUUCCAGGUGUAGCGGUGGAAUGCGCAGAUAUCUGGAGGAACACCGAUGGCGAAGGCAGGUCACUGGGCCAUUACUGACGCUGAGGAGCGAAAGCAUGGGUAGCGAACAGG
rnacentral:rRNA from 1 species